CAUAAACCCAAUUCAGACUGCCUAUUGAGAAGCAGCUAGGAGUUGAACAGACCGAGGUCCCUGUUAAAGCCUUUCCUCAUACCAGAGCUGUGAAAUCAUGCUUGUUGCCUUCCUCAAUUCCGUUUCAAGUUGUACUGUAUCCUUUUGGAGACUGGGUGACCUGACCUGCAUACACUAUCCCACAUAUUGAUGUAUUGCGGCACAAUCUCAGACCAGCAGGUCUCUCAGGAGGCUGCACAGAAUGAGGGAAAAUGAGAGAAUUUCUCUCAGCAAGAAUUGUAGCCACAGUGCAGAGGCAACCUCAUCCCCAGCUGAGAAGCCCUGGGUGUGAUGGUGGUGCUGAUGCCUUGAGGGAUCUCUCAUUGUUUCACCUGUGCUUUAUUUCAUCUUCCACAGUCCAAAUGCAAGAGGUCAGGAGCUGCAUGUAUUUCACCUUUUUAUUCUUAAUCAAAGUAAGUCCAUACCAGAUCCUACGUGGCUACAGAGAAAAAAAGAAAAGGGGGACAGCUUUAUUUUAAAAGUAAACACCCUCCCCCGCAAUAAUUUAGUGAUGAUGUUUUCAUACAUAACAUCUUGAGCAUAUUCAUUUUUAUAAAAUCUGGGGCCUAGGGUGUGAUAAAAAAAUAAUAAUUUAUUUUUUAUGCCUUUUUAUGCCUGCAAUCCCAAGACACUCCCUCCUCUGCAGUGAUAUAUUCCCAAUAUCCUCAUUAGCAAGCUCUGGGAGAGAGAAAGUAAAAAGCCUCAGGAGUCACAAGGGGGAGAAGACAGGAGAGUGCAGAAGAGGCUCCAGUUGAGCAGCUAAGAAUAGCAGCAGUGCAGCUCAGGCUAAAAAUAUCUCCGUUCCUGAUGACGGAAUCCAGACGCAGAAUAAAGUCCCGUUCACGCUGCCCAGCUCUGACCCAAGCACAUGCAGCGAGAAUAUAAGCAAAGAACUGACGAUUAAACAGGGUUAUAAAACAGUGAGUCAUGGCAUCAGAAAGCAACAGCAUUCCAGUUCCCACAACGAAGAGACCCAGCUCGCUGGGCUCACCCGCAAAAUAACCAAACAACCCGGUGCUUUUUAUAUCCGGCAGAUCUAAUAGCGCUGGAACGUCAAGCACGCCUUUGCCAGGGAUUAAUCUCUGCUUUCCAAGCUCCUUUCAGCUCUGCAUGUCAGCUGUGAGCUCCUGAACUCACGGCAGGCUUCCUGCUAUGCCUGGAGUGGGGAGCAAAACUGUGGAGCUGGCAGCGGUGCUGGCUGCCUGCCUGGGUGCCCUGCGGUCCCAACCGGGACCCGAGUCUGAGGGCAGAAAGGCCAGGGGAAAUUUCUGCUCCCAGAAAUGUUUCUGCUGACUUCAGCUUUCCUGUGCUGGCGUUAUUAUUUCCCGCUCUGCUCUGUGCAUGAUGAAUAGGGCCAGGAGCGAUUGUGGCGGGUCCUAAUUGCAGGGUGCACAUCAUGAUAGACAAUGAUAGAAGAGGAGGGCAGUGAGUGAAUUUAGCCUUGUUAAAAUACCCUUGGAAAUAUGUGUAAGUGAAUCACAGAUGAUUCAGCUGUGUAAGACACCUGAAUCCACUCAAGAGGACCUUCUGCCUGAGCACAAUGCCCUGGCAAGGAAAAACACCACCACUGUAGCAGAGCAUUG